UGCUUGCUUUCACCAUUAAAUAUUAUUCAUCCAUGGCCUCGUAUGUAAGAGCACAAAGUGGUAUGCAGCCAAGGAUGACUUGCCGACUUAACUGAUCUGUAUAAAUUAAUGCAUGUGCAGUCAAAAUUACUACUACUAUAUAUUAAUCUGAUCUGUGACCACAAAUUAACUAAUUACUACUAGCUAGCUAGUAAUUAGUUGGCAAGUUGUCCAUGGCUACAUGCUGCUUUUUGCUCCGCAUUCCAGGCCUUUUAUCUGGUGAUAUUAUUACUACUUAACCCUUCAUUUUACGAGUUGCCUGCCUAGCUACCUCCUUCCAUCAAGAACCUUCUCCAUUUCAGAGCAACAGAGAAGCGAUUGCCCAUUAUUUUCCAGGUAAAUUAAACAAUCUCCAUUUUCUUUCUUACUUGGAAGCCUGAAUUUGGAAAAUAACUUUACCAUGCAAGCAUGUGUGAAUCAUGUGAACAGUUUUCACAUACGCUGAUGAUAUAACUAGGGAAAGGGGAGACAUGGUGCUGCUUCUGAGUGUUGGUGCUUUCUGUCAUGGCUUUGUGGUUAAUCAGCAAACUCGCCCAUAUCGGCUAGGCUUCGAAGCUGGCAGUAGUUCAGUAAGAGAUGGGGUGUAUAUCUAAUGGAUGGGCCCACGUCUCUUGUAUUCAACUCUGCUAUCUAAGAGGCCUGGGGGAUAUAUAUCUAACGGAUGGGCCCAUGUCUCUUAAAUUGAACUGUUAUAUAAGGGGCCCAAAUAAUGUUUGUAUACUUAAUUAAGAGCAUAUAUAUAACGAUGGACAUUAGUGUAUGGUAAUUAAUUAAAUAAAUACUUGAGAUAAGAAAAAACAACUUGUACAAGAACAAGCACAACUCCUGCGAUAAUGCCAUGCCAUUCUCCUCUUUUCUUUCUUUUUUCCUUUUUCUUCUUUUCUUGUAUUUAUUUAUUUGUUUUGUUUUUUAAGGUGUUAAUAAAUCAUAUGUAAAUGUAAAAUCUAGAUUCCAUA